rnacentral:rRNA from 1 species
UCUGGUGGCGAUGGCGAGAAGGUCACACCCGUUCCCAUUCCGAACACGGAAGUUAAGCUUCUCAGCGCCGAUGGUAAUAGGGGGCAUCCCCUUGUGAGAGUAGGACGUUGCCAGGC